rnacentral:rRNA from 1 species
UACGUAGGGGGCUAGCGUUGUCCGGAAUCAUUGGGCGUAAAGAGCGUGUAGGCGGCCCGGUAAGUCCGCUGUGAAAGUCGGGGGGCUCAACCCUCGAAUGCCGGUGGAUACUGUCGGACUAGAGUACGGAAGAGGCGAGUGGAAUUCCUGGUGUAGCGGUGAAAUGCGCAGAUAUCAGGAGGAACACCAAUGCGAAGGCAGCUCGCUUGGGACGUUACUGACGCUGAGACGCGAAAGCGUGGGGGAGCAAAACAGG